GACGAACGCUGGCGGCGUGCUUAACACAUGCAAGUCGAACGAAGUGGCGAACGGGUGAGUAACGCGUCAUCAACCUGCCCUUCAGAGGGGGACAACAGUUGGAAACGACUGCUCAUACCGCAUACUGAAGGAGGGGAUUGCGUCUGAUUAGGUAGCUGGGGGGGUAACGGCCCACCAAGGCGAUGAUCAGUAGCCGGGCUGAGAGGGUGAACGGCCACAUUGGGAAUGAGACACGGCCCAGAAUCCUACGGGAGGCAGCAGUGGGGAAUCUUCCGCAAUGGACGAAAGUCUGACGGCGCAACGCCGCGUGAGUGAUGACGGCCUUCGGGUUGUAAAGCGCUGUUAAUCGGGACGAGGUACCGGAAUAGAAAGCCACGGCUAACUACGUGCCAGCAGCCGCGGUAAUUC
rnacentral:rRNA from 1 species